GCGAGUGGCGCUUCCUGGGCUCUGACGCUCAGCCGCGGGCCCAGCCCCGGUCGGGGCACAGGGAGUCAGGGCGUCCUGGUCUCUCACCUCUCAGGCAGACGGGGCACGCAUCGCCCCCCCACACUGCGUCAGCGCGCAGGCAGAGGGUACCCAGGGAGCACCCCACAGACGCAAUUUCCCGGGGAACGUGCCCCUGCCCUGGCCUGUGCAUGGCUGGGAGUCCCCGGGGGCUCGAGUGGGCAGGUGCUGGGGCCAGAGCUGGGCCGCGGGAGGCACCGUGGGUUCUGCACAGCUGCUGGCCCUGCCUGGCGAGGGGGCGCCUCAGAGAGGCUGCAACUGAAAGGGCGCUUCAGGCCUGCGGUGGCCAGACAGUUGCUGAGUCCAGAUGAAGAGCUGCAGGUGCGGGGGAAAGAGGACACGGGGCCAGCCCAGGUCCCUGGGCUGCAGACGGGAGGGUGUGGGGGACAGCCCUGCUCCCCAAUCUGCCCUUGCCCCACCUUGGGCCCCACCCCUGCUUGGACUCAGUGCCCUCGGGGCCGGUGGGGAGAGGGCCAGCGCGGCACUGGGGGCCCCACUUUGCCUUCUCGAGGGGAGGGAAGUGAACAGUCUCAGGCGGAUCCGCACAGUCAUCUGGCUUCCUGCUGGGACCCCGGGCCUGGCGCUAACGCCCAUUGUGCUUGAAGGUGGAUGGUGAGCAGCUGGGCACCGGAGGGCCUGACCCAUGCCUGGAGGCGGUUCCCACACCAUGGCCCUGGUGUUCAUGGUGAAGGGAACAGCAACUGGGGUGACUCCCCGGCCCCUCCUGGCCAUUUGGGGCACCGGUGUCAUGCUGCUUGCUCCUGCUGGCCUGAGCGGCCCUGCUUGUCGAGGAUACCUGUGUAAGCCCAUCACAGGGUCAGGGGCGCCGGGCUUCUGGGGCCCAGGGCCUGAGGCAUUUCCAAGAGAUGGGCAGUGACCCCAACCAGGAGGAGGUUGGACAGGAAGGGCCAUGUGCUGGGGCCGGUGAGGGCCUGAGAGGGGUGCUGCAAGCCUGCAGGCACAGGGCCAUGUCGGGGCCUGGAAGUGGGCUAAGCAGGAGUCCCUGCAGGCCUCCUGAGGAGGAUCACCCUCUGCCCAGAGAGCGUGGGUGGCAUCUUUCAGACACCUUGUGCUUAGACGCCUGGUGAAGCAGAAGGAGGUCUGGAGGGUCAGUGCUCUCCUGUCAGAGGGAAGAAACUUUGUGCAGGCCCAAGUAAAUUCCCCGUGUCCUGCUGGCUAGCUUUGUUUCUUUGCUUGCCCGUCACUUAGACAGCUCCUGUGCCCCUGCAGGGCUCAGGUGCUGAGCACAAUAUGCAGACAAACAAACAGCAGGGUGUGGGGUACCUUUGUAGCCCCUCUUCUUCACCUUCUUCAUUCCUUAAAUACGCCAGCUGGUUCUAGCCACAGGGCCUUUGCAGAGUGGCUGUUUCUGCCUGCAAUGCCCUUUCCCCUUAUCCCUUCUCCUUCACUCAGAUCUGAACUGAAACGUCACCUCCUCAGAGAGGCCCUUCCUGAGUACUCACUCUAAAGUUGCCACCCUGUCACUAUCUAACAAAUCAUUUUGUUUUAAAUCUACAUAGAACAAAUAUGACUACUCAAUGGUUUCUGAUUUGUUUCUUGUUGGUCUUGGGUGUAAGCCCUGCAAAGGCAGCAACCUUGUCCACCUCAUUCUUUGGUGUGACCCAGUGUCUGGGCGGAGCCAGGCACAAAGCUGGCACAUGGUGGCCACGUGAACAAGGCCAGUAGUCACCAAGGAGCAGAGCACAGUGGUUAAAGCACCAGCUAUGAAGUCAGGAAGAUCUGGAUGACAAUAUUGUUUGGAUGACACAGACUAGCUGUCUCACCUGAGCCCUCCUACAGACUCCUUCUGUGCCUCAGUUUCCUUGUUUGUAAAAGGAGAUUAAUGAUAGCCCAUUUCUUUCUUUCUUUCUUUUUUUUUUUUUUUUUGAUAAUCCAUUUCUUGACAAGUUACUAUGAGGUUUGUAUGAAGUUGUGGGUAGAGAAAAUUUAAAGUUUCUAGCAUGCAGUGG
rnacentral:lncRNA from 1 species